rnacentral:piRNA from 1 species
UGUCAGGCUGAUUGCAUAAGAAAGGCAGU